GAGGAAGCAGGACGCGGAGAGCGGUUAUGUAAGAGCAUCCCCCGCGCUCCGCCGCCCUGAGACGGUAGCGCCGGGAAGGUGGCGGGGCGACAAGUCCGGAGCCCCUUCGAGCAGCAGCGCUUGUGUUGAACCAUCUUCCUUGUCCUGGGCGCUUUCCUCCAAAGGCAGGGAAGAGAGAAGGUUUCAGCACGGCUGCAUCCGUGAACACUUGAGGAGGCUGGCUCUUUCUUUCCACUGACAGACCCCGAAGGGCUUCCUCCCCAGUAAGACUGCGAGGGCCAGCUCCUCUGUCUCCUCCCGUCCUCCUAGACAGGGAACUGGUAAAGGAGACUCCAGAGGGAAUGUGACAGCCACAAUGCCCUCCACUCUGCAAAGGCGAAGACAGAGCCCUCAGGCACAGACGCGGCACCUGACUCUGUGGCACCACCGCAGGCAUCUCCUUCCUGCCUCCGCACACCCCACGUGCCCACCCAGCCGCUGCUUACACCAGGUAGGCAUGGUGAUGCUUGUACUCCUCCGCGACCUCUGGCCUCCUUCUCAGAGUGAAGGCAGAUCAUCACCCACAGCAGAAAGGAAGUGAAAGAAAAGGUUCAUGCCUCCUUGGAGAGCAGGCACUCAGAGUGAAAGAAGCAAGGCACCACACACAUUUGAGCACAGGAGCCAAGCCCCACAUGCUGUCUCCUGAAAUCUUUUCUUGUGCAAAGACCGACCAUGUUCUGAUGACAUUGCCUGUCCAUUUUCACCAUCGUCCUAAGCAUCCUCCCUCACAACACUGGUGUACGAAAGAAGACAUUAAAGCCCUAAAAGAACAUGCAUGGGAAACUAGUAAUGUGAUCAUCUUGUGGAAGAACAUGACUCCCAGCCCCAGAAAGGCCAACCAUACCUUUACGAGAGCACGAAAAUCAAAGCCGGGUUCUAUGAAAGUGCCUUGUGAUGUUUCUCCCACAUGACCAGGCUCUGGACAUUUAUAGGGAAGAAAACACUGAACAGGGGCAAUAUUACUUUCUGCUGGGACUUUGAAAAGUGAAACUGAUCUACGUGCAGGGACUAAUAAUUAACGUGUGUGGUUAGAGCGGGUCUUCUCCAGGGCCUGCUUUGGGCCUUGGGUGGGCCCCUGGGAGUCCUACUGGGCCUUUGCUUUCUCCCAAUUAAAUAGACUUACAAGGAUGGCACCUAGGGGUGACUGGAGGUCUUUAGCCCCUUCCAUCUCCCUGUAGUAUCCAUUAGGUCUCCCCUGUUAUUUGAUAUGGAUGUUUUUCAAUUUUAUAUGGGAUGUUCUGCAAACAGAGCUGAAGACCUCCUUCCAGCCACACUCCCACCCCUCCCCCCACCCCCUGCCAGAC
rnacentral:lncRNA from 1 species